rnacentral:rRNA from 1 species
UACGUAGGGGGCUAGCGUUGUCCGGAUUUAUUGGGCGUAAAGAGCGUGUAGGCGGCCAGGUAGGUCUGGUGUGAAAACUCGAGGCUUAACCUCGAGAUGUCAUCGGAAACCAUCUGGCUAGAGUCCGGAAGAGGAGAGUGGAAUUCCUGGUGUAGCGGUGAAAUGCGCAGAUAUCAGGAAGGAACACCAAUGGCGAAAGGCAGCUCUCUGGGACGGUACUGACGCUGAGACGCGAAAGCGUGGGGAGCGAAACAGG